UACGGAGGGAGCUAGCGUUGUUCGGAAUUACUGGGGCGUAAAGCGCACGUAGGCGGCUUUGUAAGUUAGAGGUGAAAGCCCGGGGCUCAACCCCGGAAUUGCCUUUAAGACUGCAUCGCUUGAAUCCAGGAGAGGUGAGUGGAAUUCCGAGUGUAGAGGUGAAAUUCGUAGAUAUUCGGAAGAACACCAGUGGCGAAGGCGGCUCACUGGACUGGUAAUUGACGCUGAGGUGCGAAAGC
rnacentral:rRNA from 1 species